rnacentral:lncRNA from 1 species
UGUGCUCGGAUCCCUCGGAACGGUAUAGAAAAAACAUUACCACAACGUGCAGCCAUCUGGUUUUCUUUCUCGACUCCUUCUCCUUCACUUAACCAUCUCCUACCAUCAACAGGAACAGCAAUGUUGCACAUAUAACCCGGGUGGCCCGAAUCCUCCAAGAACGAACCCGUAAUCUUCCAUAAAAACGAAGCAAACGACUCUACCUUAGACCUUAUAAUCCCAUUUUCACUAGCCAACAACCGGAGUCCGUUUAUUUGUUCACCCUUGAUAUAAUAGAUUCUACUUAUUCGCGAGUGUUGAUUGAGGUCCAAUUCAUUGUCCGAAUCGCUUACAGGCAAUGGGAGUUUAGAUAGGGGAAAAAACAUGUUGGCUACAUAAGGCGUGUAGUGCUUUGAGUGUCGAGGUUUAAGGUCCGAACGAUCAAAAUAAGGUAUGAGAGAUGGUGGUUGUGAUCGAGUCAUAUUGGCCCAUGAAGUGGUGAACAUGUUCAUCGAAUAGCCGUCAAUUACUCGAUGAUCAAACAAGCAUGCUACCACCAUUCCACCACACUUCAGCAUUGUUACCUGCAAUGGAUUUUAACCUGAAUGGCAAGCACCCCAUGGUGCUCUUGGGGCAUUAGUUUCACUCCAAUAUUCUCAUCAUGAUUGUAGAAGUCAAGUUCCCAGAGCUCGACAUCCGCAGCAGCUUCAGUAAAGUCGACACCUCUGUAGUUACAAUGAAUCUCGAGCUCACUGGUGGCGGUGGGCACAAUCUCUCCGGCAAUUGGGUAGAAGAAGACGAGUACGUGAGAUAAAGAAGUCUUGAGUGCAUCAACCAUGUCCAUUUGGUCAUGGGGUUUCUUGUAACAGAAGAAACAACCCAUAUCAAUGGGUGGCACCACCAAGUCUAGGUUUGUAAGGGGUAACCAGUGCUCGGACCAUGGUUGUCUUGGUGCCACUACUUCAGUUUUUAUCACCUUCACUUUAAUGCCCAUUAGGAAGAUAUAUAUGUUUUAUGUAAUUAUGUAUAAAGAGAAAGAGAAG